GGAGUUUGGACCGUGUCUCAGUUCCAAUGUGGGGGACCUUCCUCUCAGAACCCCUACUGAUCGUAGGCUUGGUGGGCCGUUACCCCGCCAACAACCUAAUCAGACGCAUCCCCAUCCUAUACCGAUAAAUCUUUGAUUCAACUUAGAUGUCCGCAUUGAAUAACAUAGAGUAUUAAUCCGACUUUCGCCGGGCUAUCCUCUAGUAUAGGGAAGGUUGGAUACGCGUUACUCACCCGUGCGCCGGUCGCCAUCAAAGUUUGCAAGCAAACUUCAUGCUGCCCCUCGACUUGCAUGUGUUAAGCCUGUAGCUAGCGUUCAUC
rnacentral:rRNA from 1 species